UGACAUAGAUUCUCAGGGAUGUUCUU
rnacentral:piRNA from 1 species